AAGUCGUAACAAGGUUUCCGUAGGUGAACCUGCGGAAGGAUCAUUCACAAUAUUUCUUAUCUUUUUUUUUUCAUUGUUUUGUAUAUAUUUAUAUAUCAAAACAUUGACUGGCAAAUGGUAAUAACCGUAAGGUAAAAACCAUAACCCAAUUUAUGUGUACUGUAUUCAGGUUGAUUUUGUUUUUUUUUAAAAAGAAGCAAUCCUCCUGAUUUAAUUUCUUAUAUUAAUCUAUAACGAAAUUUUAUUAUUAAACAAAUUAAUAUUUUGAUGUCAUUAAUUGAUUAAAAUUUAAAUAACAACUUUCAACAAUGGAUCUCUUGGCUCUC
rnacentral:misc_RNA from 1 species